ensembl:lncRNA
GCACCCCUGGCUCCAACUUCACCUGGUCUUGUGCUCACUCGGUGCUUUUGUUAUUUUAAGGGCCUCUGAAGAAUGGGUUUCUUUCCUGUUUAGAAUUCAGCCCUCUACCGCAGUGCUUCCCAAACUGUAUUCCAUGGGGGUUGGGGAAUGAAGGCUGUGGUAGGUAAUGACUCUCCCAAAGAUGUUCACACCCUCAUCCAUGGUACCUGUGACUGUUGUGUUACAUGGUAAAUGGAACUUUGCAGAUAUGACAUAGAUCUUGAGAUGAAAAGAACAUCCUGGUAUACCCAGGUGGGCCCAAUCUCAUCACAUGAGUUCUUAAAAGUUGAAAGUCUUCCCUGGCUGUGGUCAGAGAGAAAUGAGACAGAAGAACAUGGAGGAGAAAUUCAAGAUCAUCGUGUGUGCAAAUAGAGGGCUUCUGCGGAGUCGCAGCAUCAGUAUCACACUCCGUUGUCAUAGUUACACCCUGAAAAGGAAGAUGCCCUGACAAAGACCAGAUUGGCUGUGAGCUCCUGAAACCCUUGGAUACUCCUAAGUAUUGAGAGAAUAAAGAUGUACUUCGGAAAGCUUUAUGUAACCUAAAGAUGGGGGUCUUUUGCUACGGGAGCCAAUCAUGUGAUUAGAGUACCCCUACCUCAACGUCCAAGUUGUGAGAGGGACUGAAGAUUGAGUUCAACUGGCCAAUGGUGAAUGAUUUAAUCAAUCAUACCUAUGUAAUGCUGCUGCUAAGUCGCUUCAGUCGUGUCCGACUCUGUGCGACCCCAGAGAUGGAAGCCCACCAGGCUCCCCCGUCCCUGGGAUUCUCCAGGCAAGAACACUGGAGUGGGUUGCCAUUUCCUUCUCCAAUGCAUGAAGGUGAAAAGUGAAAGUGAAGUCGCUCCGUCGUGUCUGACUCUUAGCAACCCCAUGGACUGCAGCCUACCAGGCUCCACCAUCCAUGGGAUUUUCCAGGCAAGAGUACUGGAGUGGGGUGCCAUUGCCUUCUCCGACCUAUGUAAUGAUGCCCCCAUAAACACCCAAAAGGACAGGGUUUGGCAAACUUCCAGACUGGUGAACCAGAACACAUCCGCAUGCCAUCACGUCCAGUCCAAACUCCAUGACGAUAGGAGUGCCUUUGUUUGGGACCUCCCCUGUGUAUCUCUGCAUCUGGCUGCUAAUCCUUUAAUAUCCUUUGUGAUGAACUUUUGAUGGAGUGAAUCAACUGACUUCCUGAGUCCUGUGGACUGCACAUGAAAAUUCAUCAGAUCCAAGGAGGGGGUGGUGGAUACCUCUGGUUUAUAGCCAGCUGGGCAGAAACAUAGGUGACAACCUGGACUUAAAAUUGACAUCCGAAGUAGAGGGACAUCUUGGGAGACUGAGCCCCUUGAUUUGUGGAAUCUGAUAUCAUCUCUGGGUAGAUACUGAGUCAAAAUUGAGUUGAAUUGUAGGAUACCCUACUGGUGUCCAAGAAUCGCUUGGUGGUAUGGGUGGAACACCCGCCACGUUCCACAAACCACUGG